GCAAACUUGGUCAUUUAGAGGAAGUAAAAGUCGUAACAAGGUUUCCGUAGGUGAACCUGCGGAAGGAUCAUUAUCGGAUUUGGGGGCUGAUGCUGGCAUCAUUGCACUGUGCUCGCCCUUUUGAUGAUAAUAUACACCUGUGCACCUUUUGGAGGGCUUUCUUUCAUUCAGGGAAGCCCUCUUAUAUUAUAAACCCCCCUUGUUUUGUGAAUAUGAAUUUUGUCCAUAAUAAUAUUACAACUUUUAACAACGGAUCUCUUGGCUCUCGCAUCGAUGAAGAACGCAGC
rnacentral:misc_RNA from 1 species